UUAAAAGAUAUGAAUUGUCCACUGUGGUC
rnacentral:sRNA from 1 species